rnacentral:rRNA from 1 species
CCUACGGGGGGCUGCAGUGGGGAAUAUUGGGCAAUGGACGCAAGUCUGACCCAGCAACGCCGCGUGAAGGAAGAAGGCUUUCGGGUUGUAAACUUCUUUUAAGGGGGAAGAGCAGAAGACGGUACCCCUUGAAUAAGCCACGGCUAACUACGUGCCAGCAGCCGCGGUAAUACGUAGGUGGCAAGCGUUGUCCGGAUUUACUGGGUGUAAAGGGCGUGCAGCCGGGAAGACAAGUCAGAUGUGAAAUCCCGCGGCUCAACCGCGGAACUGCAUUUGAAACUGUUUUUCUUGAGUAUCGGAGAGGUAAUCGGAAUUCCUAGUGUAGCGGUGAAAUGCGUAGAUAUUAGGAAGAACUCCGAUUGCGAAGGCAGCAUACCGGCGCGCAACUGACGCUCAUGCACGAAAGCGUGGGUAUCGAACAGGAUUAGAUACCCUAGUAGUC